UGGGUUGUGGUUCAGUGGUAGAGCACUUGUCUAGCAUGCAUGAAGCACUGGGUUCGAUUCCCAGCACCACAU
rnacentral:tRNA from 1 species